rnacentral:tRNA from 1 species
AUUCCAUGUGGUGCAGUGGGUCAGUGCAUCUGGCUGUUAACCAGAAGGUUGGUGGUUCAAGCCCACCCAGGGGCA